CUCACUCUUUGCCACCCCUUCUGAGGUGCUCCCUCUUGGGACCUAGCUUCCAUACUGUGAGAAACUCAAGCCGUAUUGCAAGGCCACAUGUGGGCUGUCAGUCCCAGGUCUAAAGUGAGCCAGUAGACCCACCUCAACAUAUGCUUUCGAUAGCUGAGGCAGGACAAAGGAAUGUGCCAAAUCGCACACUAGUUCUUAAAGCUUCCACCAGAAGUGACAUACGUCGCUUCCACUUAUAUUUCAUUGGCCAAGAAGGUCAUGUGGCCACACCUGAUUAAACAAAGAUGGAGAAGUUUAACCUACCAUGUGCUGAGUAGCUAGCGUUACUUAGAGGCUCCAUCUGGUCUGAUGAGAAGAGCUUACCUGAAGAUGAAACCAAUGCUGGGGCAAGCUGGGCUCCGAAGUUAAAAGAAGGGAACUGAAGCCUGAUGACAUCAUUUAAACCUCUGCAGCUGUCACCUCCUCUGAAAUAUGCUGAGCCCUGCGAACUCCAUGGCUCCUUUUCAGCUGGCUUCCUGCCCGAAGAGUGCUUCCUGCAGUGUUUCCUUUUGCUUUCAUCCAAUACCUGGUUCUUAUAGAUCUACCUGGAAAGAGUAACACUUUGACUGCCAUUGUCAUUUCUACCUCAGUGUGAAAGAAGUUUCUAAGUGAAAAUGUCAUUGAGCAAGAAAGGAAGUGGAGGCAACGUUCCAGUUCGGCCCCCUCCACUCCACCCACCCCCGACAGCCUUACUGCUGGGGUUGGUGGGAUGAGGCCUGCGUCCUCCAGACGCCCUGUGCUGUGGGGAACCAGUCCUGUCCAGAGCAGAAAGGUGGAGAGGAUUUCUGGGGCCAAACAUGAAGAUAUCAUGAAGUGGGUUCUCCAGUUCUUGUGUCAACACACAUGCUACCUAGAAUGGCUUGAAGUGCUUUUCAAAACCUCUUGAAUCCAUUUAAAGCUUCUGCAGCUUUCCAAAAGAGUGUUUUCCCCUCAUCUUCAAGCACGUAAGCAAAAACAAUUUUCCAAAAGAGUAGCCUGAGAAAGUCAGUGGAGUGUAAUGACAACAAAACUCCCUAAGUCUUCCACAAGCGCAGAAUUUGUUUCACUGGGAAUCUCAUUUCCAGAGAGAGAGAGAGACCCUAGACCUUCUCUGUCCAGGGGCCAUACUUUGAGCUAUAGAAUUUUCGAGUGCUCUGUUUUCUGCACAGUCUUUGAGUCAGAUCUAGAAUCUUUUCUGGCACUAGAGAGAAGAAAUCCAUCUUCUCACCGCAUGGCCCUCAGGUCAUCUCUGAAGCACAUUCUCCACUGGGUUUCUUUCCUUCUUGGUUGACUCCCAAGGCUCAACUUUCGCUCCAUGCUUUGGCCCUGCCCUCACCCAUUCUGUCUGGGGGCCCCUGUCUGAGACUGAAGGUGGAGGGAGACACAGUAUUCUCAGCCCUCUUCUUCUUUACUGCCUUUGAAGACAAGAAUGCAGAUCUUUCAGUGGUUUUGCCACUGAUCUCACAAAUGAGAAACCACCCGAGAAGACAACGACUGGCAAGUCUUUGGCACCACGGUCUCUGGACUAUGGCUUCCAACUUUUCCACUGACGUGCCAAUUAGAAUAGAAGCGUGCUGAUCGCUGAGGAGGGUGCUCAUCAACCACCCCCACUCUUUCUAUGUGAGGCUUUAAAUGUAGGCUCUGCCAGGUCCUACUCCAGGAAGACCCUUAGAUCUCACUGUCUUUAGUCAUGGCAAGCACAAAAUACUCCAAGUUACUGCCUGCAUCCUGCACUGGAAAUCCAUUCCCUUUUGUUUGGUUUUUAUUGACCAGAGUGUUUAAAAAUAACUUCUGGAUUUAGAGCAAGGAUUGGCAAUCUAUGGCUCCCAGGACAAAUUUGGCCACAGCCUGUUUUUGUACAGUC